GACGAACGCUGGCGGCGUGCCUAAUACAUGCAAGUCGAACGCAGUGGGGACGGGUGAGUAACACGUGCGUAACCUGCCAUAUGAGGGGAUAACACUUGGCAACAGGUGCUAAAUCGAUAUUGGUGGAUGGACCCGCGGUGCAUUAGCCAGUUGGUGAGGUAACGGCGCACCAAGGCUACGAUGCAUAGCCGGCCUGAGAGGGUUAUCGGCCACACUGGGACUGAGACACGGCCCAGACUCCUACGGGAGGCAGCAGUAGGGAAGAUUCGGCAAUGGGCGAAAGUCUGACCGAGCAACGCCGCGUGAGUGAAGAAGGUUUUCGGAUCGUAAAACUCUGUUGUUAGAGAAGCGGUAUCUAACCAGAAAGCCACGGCUAACUACGUGCCAGCAGCCGCGGUAAUAC
rnacentral:rRNA from 1 species